rnacentral:tRNA from 1 species
UGGCUCAGUUGGUAGAGCACUGUACUUGCAAUGGCAGAGUUGUGGGUUUGAUUCCCAU